rnacentral:rRNA from 1 species
AGCGAAUAGAUACCCCGUAGUCCACGCCGUAAACUAUGGAUGCUAGCUGUUGGCCGUAUCGACCCGGUCAGUAGCGAAAGCUAACGCGUUAAGCAUCCCGCCUGUGGAGUACGGUCGCAAGACUAAACAUAAAGGAAUUGACGGGGACCCGCACAAGCGAUGGAGCGUGUUGUUUUAAUUUCGAUGCUAAGCGAAGAACCUUACCCAGGUUUGACAUCUUCGGAAUUACUACGAAAGUAGUGAGUGCCUUCGGGUAACCGAAUGACAGGUGAUGCAUGGCCGUCGUCAGCUCGUGUCGUGAGAUGUUUGGUUGAGUCCAUCAACGAGCGCAACCCUUAUGAAUAGUUGUAUUUUUCUAUUCAGACUGCCUCGGUAACGGGGUAGGAAGGAGGGGAUGAGGUCAGGUCAGUAUUU